rnacentral:rRNA from 1 species
ACAGCAGCCGCGGUAAUACGUAGGGUGCGAGCGUUAAUCGGAAUUACUGGGCGUAAAGGGUGCGCAGGUGGUUAUUUAAGACAGAUGUGAAAUCCCCGGGCUCAACCUGGGAACUGCGUUUGUGACUGAAUGGCUAGAGUGCGGCAGAGGGGGGUAGAAUUCCACGUGUAGCAGUGAAAUGCGUAGAGAUGUGGAGGAAUACCGAUGGCGAAGGCAGCCCCCUGGGUCAGCACUGACGCUCAUGCACGAAAGCGUGGGGAGCAAACAGGAUUAGAUACCCUGGUAGUCCACGCCCUAAACGAUGUCAACUAGGUGUUGGGGGAGGAGACUUCCUUAGUACCGCAGCUAACGCGUGAAGUUGACCGCCUGGGGAGUACGGUCGCAAGAUUAAAACUCAAAUAAAUUGACGGC